UAUUAACUCUAGCUCCAGGCUUAACACAUGCCAGUCGAGGGGCAGCAUGGUCUUAGCUUGCUAAGGCCGAUGGCGACCGGCGCACGGGUGAGUAACACGUAUCCAACCUGCCGUCUACUCUUGGACAGCCUUCUGAAAGGAAGAUUAAUACAAGAUGGCAUCAUGAGUCCGCAUGUUCACAUGAUUAAAGGUAUUCCGGUAGACGAUGGGGAUGCGUUCCAUUAGAUAGUAGGCGGGGUAACGGCCCACCUAGUCUUCGAUGGAUAGGGGUUCUGAGAGGAAGGUCCCCCACAUUGGAACUGAGACACGGUCCAAACUCCUACGGGAGGCAGCAGUGAGGAAUAUUGGUCAAUGGGCGAGAGCCUGAACCAGCCAAGUAGCGUGAAGGAUGACUGCCCUAUGGGUUGUAAACUUCUUUUAUAAAGGAAUAAAGUCGGGUAGGGAUACCCGUUUGCAUGUACUUUAUGAAUAAGGAUCGGCUAACUCCGUG
rnacentral:rRNA from 1 species